GGAGAGGUGGCAGAGUCUGGUUAAAUGCGCCGCACUCGAAAUGCGGUGUUCUCCCGUAGGGACCCCUGCGGGGGAAUCCCUUCCUCUCCG
rnacentral:tRNA from 1 species